UUCAAAACCAAGAGCAAACAGUUAUAGAAUCUACGGAUAUCUUCAAGAGCUUUUUUUUCCCUCAAGUGGUUAAGAACAACUAUUGAAAGCUCCCCAGAAACUGAACCUGCUGUCAGGCACUGAAGGAGCAACACAAAGAAGAUUGAGAUUGAAAACAACACCUAUCAUUGGACAUAUCUUGCUGUGAAUCUAAGGAGAAAGAAGGCUACUGUGGAAUGGAACGAACAUCAUUAACAGACAUCUAUCGAGACCUCUGAAGUGCUGGAUGGAGUUCAAGCUUCCAGAGAUACAGGAGUCAAUGAAGAGUAGAGACUGGGAGGUGAGAUCUGGCCAGCUGGAUGCUGAGAACAUGAGGAUGUGAGUACCCAAAGAGUUCUGGAUAGAGACCUGACCAGAAAAUUGGACUUGAGAUGCUGCCUUUCCACAUAAUGUUGCAACCCUGGGAUACUGGCACUGGAAGAAACUCUAGAAAUUACCUGGACGUAGUCCUUCAUUUUAUGGAAAUGGAGGCUCAGAGAAAUAAACUGAAUUGGUCAAAGACACACAGACAAUUUUUGGAAGAGCUGGUCCUAGAACUUGGGUUACUUCUAUGAUGAUAUGAUUUCUAGUUUUCCUAAGUUUCUCCUUGGGUAGGUGUACCUGGGUUUUCAGAGACAUGAUGAAUGAAAUCAUUAAAAAAAUACAGCAUUUCUACUCCUUGUAAUCUCAGGGAAUGAUUAUCCCAUCUAUGAAUAAUUGUCCCAUCUUUAUCCAUUUCUUCUACUUAGCCCUUUGCCCUCUUGUGCUUUGCUUUUUGCUUUGGGGGCAAAAAGCCCCCACCUAUGAAUGAUUGUCCCACAUCUAUGAAUGAUUGUCCCAUAUUUGUCCAUUUCUUCAACUUAGCUCUUUGGCUGUUGUGCUUUGCUUUUUGCUUUGGGGGCUUUUGUUUAUUUGGUUUUGGAUUUUUGAUAUUUUGUUUGAUCACACCAUUAUUCAAACCCAAAGACACGUUCAGGGAGUAGGAAAGAAAACUCAACCCACACAGUACUGGGUCCAUCACAGAGGUGUAUUAAAUAUUUAUGGACUUCAACCAAACAAUAUCUUUACUGGUCAGUACUUAAGAGCAAGAUGAGGAAUAAGGUUGAAAUUAUUUCCUAAGAAGAGGGGGUUUAUGUUUUAGUUAUCCAUUCUGUUCACACAUGUGAGGAAGACGGGAUACUGUAGUAGUUAAAAGGGCAGCUUGCUUCAAAGCUAGCCAAAGCUGAGUUUGAAUUCCUGCUCCAUUGUGAGUACCAGUGGAAGUCGCUAGGAGUUUUAAGAAAUGACCUGUUUCCAGACAGCAACUGGAAGCUGUGUAGGGAAAGGAUCAGAGAAACAGACUGAAGACAAAGAAACAGGCAGAGACCCUGGCAAAAGGCAGGUUGAGGGAUGACAAUCAAGCAUAUUGUUCUUUCUUGUUAGCAAGAACCACCAAAAAUUGGCGAUAAUCGCCACGCCAAAUUAUUUCCACCUGGUGAAGGUUGCAAUUGUAAAUUAGUUCAAACAUUGUGGAAGACAGUGUGGUGAUUCCUCAAGGAUCUGAAACCAGAGAUCCCAUUUGACCCAGCAAUCCCAUUACUGGGUAUAUACCCAAAGGAUUAUAAAUCAUUCUACUAUAAAGACACAUGCACAUGUAUGUUUAUUGCAGCACUAUUCACAAUAGCAAAGAUUUGGAACCAACCCAAAUGCCCAUCAAUGAUAGACUGGAUAAACAAAUGUGGCACAUAUACACCAUGGAAUACUAUGCAGCCAUAAAAAGAAUGAGUUCAUGUCCUUUGCAGGGACAUGGAUGAAGCUGGAAAUCAUCAUUCUCAGCAAACUAACACAAGAACAGAAAACCAAACACUGCAUGUUCUCAUUCAUAAGUGGGAGUUGAACAAUGGGAACACAUGGACACAGGGAGGGAAACAUUACACACCGGGGCC
rnacentral:lncRNA from 1 species